rnacentral:misc_RNA from 1 species
GAUGAAGAACGUAGCGAAAUGCGAUAAGUAAUGUGAAUUGCAGAAUUCAGUGAAUCAUCGAAUCUUUGAACGCACAUUGCGCCCGCCAGUAUUCUGGCGGGCAUGCCUGUUCGAGCGUCAUUUCAACCAUCAAGCCCCAGGCUUGUGUUGGGGACCUGCGGCUGCCGCAGGCCCUGAAAACCAGUGGCGGGCUCGCUGUCACACCGGGCGUAGUAGAUUUUAUCUCGCUCAGGGCGUGCUGCGGGUUCCGGCCGUUAAAAAGCCUUUUUUACCAAAGGUUGACCUCGGAUCAGGUAGGAAGACCCGCUGAACUUAAGCAUAUCAAUAAGCGGAGGA